rnacentral:rRNA from 1 species
AUUGAACGCUGGCGGCAGGUCCAACAAAUGCAAGUUGAGCGGAGCGGCGGACGGGUGAGUAAUGCCUAGGAAUCUGCCUGCUUGUGGUGGAUACCGUCCUGAACCGGGCGACAAUACCGCAUACUAUCAGAUGAGCCUAGGUCGGAUUAGCUAGUUGGUGCGGUAAAGGCCUACCAAGGCGACGAUCCGUAACUGGUCUGAGAGGAUGAUCAGUCACACUGGAACUGAGACACGGUCCGGACUACUACGGGAGGCAGCAGUGGGGAAUAUUGGACAAUGGGCGAAAGCCUGAUCCAGCCAUGCCGCGUGUGUGAAGAAGGUCUUCGGAUUGUAAAGCACUUUAAGUUGGGAGGCGUUACCAACAGAAUAAGCACCGGCUAACUUCGUGCCAGCCGCCGCGGUAAUUC